GGCGGGGCGCGGGGGCUCCGCUCGAGCGCUCCUCGUUCCCGCUCGCCCCGAAGCGAGGGGACCGCGGCUCCGCUCCAGGCAGCAGCGAAGCCCGGCACGCCGCUCCGCCGAGCGUGACAGCCGUGCCUUUCGCUCGGCAUCGCCGCGGAGCCGCUCGCCUCAACCCCUUUAACUUUAUUUCGGGGUUUUGCGGGUUCGGGGCUUUCAUGACCACACGUACCCCGCCGCUGUAACGCGGCCUCGGUGCUGUACCGCGAACAUGUAACAGAGCUAAGCACGGGGACGUGUUUAUUUCCCGCUGAAUGGAGCCACCGGCCAGCCGAGCGGGGACUCGAGUCCUUCUCCCGGUGAAAAUGGCCAAAAGACGCUCGAACAAGCGAAGGGACGGAGAGAUAAAAUAGAAAACAUGUCAACACAGAGAGAAAAAUGCCCGGCCGGAGCAUUCCUCCUCUGCGAACACACGCGAAUAAGGGCGCUCACAUCCCAGCCGGUCACCAAGCCCGGCCGCGGGGACACAGACCUGGGCACAGCUCUGGGAGGGAUUGAUUGCCCCUCACCACCUCACACACACUUUUUCAUGUUGCCGCAUGCCCACAUACUUCUGCCGCAGAAAUAAUACAUGUGGCUAAAGCCGCAGGUGCGGAGGUGGCUGGAAAGUUGUAAAAAGCACCUCGACUCGAGGGUGUCCUGCCUGGAAAGCCGCUGUGUUCAGACCCCACGGGCGAAGAGGUUUUUGCGACUCAAUUUCAAAGACAAGGCUGCAGCGUUGCCAUUGAUCCUCAUGGAGCAAAAAAUAACCUUUACCCGAAACAGUGACCAGCAGGGAUUGGGAAGACAGAAAAGUGGGAAAGGAAUCUUUCCUGGUUAAAAUGUGGGGAACUGCCUUAGGAUUUCCAAACAAGCCAGAGCUGAGGAGGUCACCUUUCGGGGAGGGUAGGAGAAGGUGGGGGUUCAAAAUGCAGAAUAGUCACAGAUUAUUGCUGAUGUUGAAUUUCCUGAGGAAAAAAAAUAAAAGCCAAAACCCAAAGCACAACCCAACACCAACCUUUCCUGUCUAGAAUCUGACAAAGUAAACAGGAUUAAUUCACCAUAUGAAAAAAACGUAAACGCCGUCCUAACAAAUGCAGAAAUCAGAAGAGAAAGCGGUUUUAACAGGGCGCACAAUAUUAAUAGUUUGAACGUAUGAUCGUAAAAAUGAAAAACCAUUGAUACACGCUUAAAAGCCGCCGUAUACGCUGAUUGCUCAAGCAUUAAUGAAGAAUGCCCCAGAUUAACUAUUUGCUCUUCGAGGGAUACAGCGAUAUAACUAUCUAUUAGCACCAUUAGAUGCUUUGCUAUUUAUUUGAAAACACCCCUGCGAGUGGGUUGAGACAGAAGAGAUGAAUGUAAAAAUGAACUGCAGCUAAUUUCGCUAAAUAAUUCUCGAAACCUGAGCGCCUCGCAAGGAAGGGGGAGAUUCUCCACUGUCCUUCUCUGAGGCUAAUGACAAUAGAAAUGCUCUGGUUUAAAAGUGAGACCGUAUUGGUUUUCCAAAUAAACAAACGCAUCCCUCCUGCCAUUUUACUGCAGAUGUAAAUUUAUUUUAAUGAGAGGGAGUGGAAGGAUUUAUUUUGCUAAAAUAGAGUUGGGGAUAGAGCCGGUGUAAAUCUUUAGGUUUCAAAAAGAGAGGAGGAAGGAGGGGGAAGCUGCUUUCCUGGCAGAAAGCUGCCUAACAGUCCUCUAAUUCUUUCUAGAUUAAAUCGCAAUAUGAAUACAGCAUCGAACAAAUACCGAGUUUCGCUCUGAACUCAGUGGAAAGCAGUUACGUCUAACAGAAUUCAAUGAAUUCCUCUUCUCCCUCAAUGUAGUAUGUGUGUGUUUUUCUCUUCCACCACACUGAAGUUCCAUGAAUAGGGAAAGUGGCUCCUAUUGUGUGCCUCUGAACUUCCAAGUCAAUGCAAUUUUUAACCACUGGCUUGUGGUACUUUGAAAAUCACCAGGGGCUGUCAGAGUUGGGUCCUCUGAAAAAUUUACAGUGCUAAAUCAGAGCAUAUGCUGUGAGAGAGGAAAAAAAAUUGCUUAAGAUUGGAGCAAGUACAGUAUCUGGCUGCCCCCUAGUGUAAGUCUCUUAUCUGCCUAAAAUUCAACUUUAAAAGAAAAGGAUCUCUUAAAGGGAAACGACUUUUGGCUCACGUAUGCAUACGAGAAUGAAACUUCUGUACAUUUUAAUCUGAUUAAUUCCUAAGGAUUUAAAAUUAAUUGGCUUGGGCACUCCUAGACCGGACUAUAAGAUUUCUGCAUCAGGGUUUCUGCGAGAGCUGUGCCGAAUAGGAUCCAAGCCUCGCUUGCUGUUGUCAGAGCAAAACACUUCAGCUGCUUAAAGUCAGAUCUACGUCUUUUGCAAUAAUACUUUAAAAAAAAAAAAAAAAAAAAGGAUAAAUAAUUGCCUUAAAGCCUCAGCCGAACUGCCAACCACACCUUCGGAUGUUAGAAGGCAGAAAUAUGUGAACUGCUGAGAGAGGGCCUGCCUCAGCGAUGCCAUAAAUAGAGAUUGAGCUAUCAGGAGGAAAAAAAAAAAAAAGGAGAAAGAAUAAAAUAAAAGCAAAAACCCUGGACAGGAAUAGAGACAGACAGAUAAAUGUAUAACUGCAUCUGAACAAUGUUACGUGGCACAUUAGGAGUUGGAAACUGUCACAAACAAAACUACCACAAGCAUUUACCAGCCCACUCCUGAAGAAUAUUACCUGCAUUUACCAUCCGAUGCUGCUGAAGACAAUGAUAUUAAAUAAGCAUUACAUACUUUUACUUUCUAGGAUUUCUUUCCCUCCCACCCAGGCACUGCAUACUUUAUCCAAGGAGAUUUAUCAUGGCGUGUUUUCCAACGUCAGUUUUUCCCUUUUAUUAGAGACAAGGGCAGUCAUUUGUGUUUAGGGAGGGAGACAGGUACAGAGCCUUUAUCUGAUCUGCGUCCCCAGCCACCACCACCACCUUUUUAAUCGAUGGCAGGUCCCCACUCUGGAAGAUCUGGCCCUAUCUGGGUUACUUCUUAGCCAAGGAAUGCAUCCUUCCCUUCAUCUCCACAUAUCUCACCUGUGCUGCAUGCUGCUUUUUGAGAAGGGAAUAAUACACUGCUUACCACACAGCACAGUUUCAAAGCCUUUGUGCGUUUCUCAUCUCCAGCCAAAGCUUAUUAUUUACCACCCAAAAAAUUUACCAGGAUAAGGGGUAGCAGAAGUUAUUUUCUUCAUCUUUACACCCCAAUUUUUAUGCAGUGAAUGCCCUGCACUAGGACCAGAUUCCACUCAGAUGGAAGUUAUUAACUUUCAGCAGAAUGGGGCCGAUUUCAGCCAGCCACAGCCUGUGCCCUUCGAACGCAGUCGCUUUGCCGCAUCCCCAUGUUUAUUUUUUUUCUUUGGAGGGCAUGAUUCUUUAAACAUAUUUGUUUUACACAGAGCAGCAUUUGAAUCCUAACUUUUUUUCCCCCCCUCAAACAUGUAAAGAGAAUAUUAAUAGGGAAUAUUAACAGAGGUGAGUGCAGCAUGAAGCUAGUUAGGUUGUAGUAGCUGAGAAAUAUGAACUAGUGAACAUAAUCCAUAAACUCCAUUUGGUUACUAUAAUACUCCAAUCUGUAUUUAUUACAACCCCACUCUGAUGCUUAUACAACUGCAAUUGCUAGAUUUAUACACUCUAAUGGUUUCACAAUAGGAAAAACCUGUGUCUUUAUCUUUCUUUUCCUGUCCAAAAUAACCCCUUCCACAUAUACUUCAGGCUUCUCCGGACCUUGUCUGGGUUUAAUCACAGGCUUUGGGACAAAAUGUGCAUUAUUAAGAAGUAUAAAUAUUUUCAGAAGCAAUCAAAGGGUUGAAAGAUUGAUUCGGCAUGUAGAUUGGAUUUAAUUCGAAGCAGCUUUGUUCUAAUGAGGACUACUGGGAUACAAAGACGGCAGCCGCUUAUGGCCACCAGUUGGGAACUUCGACUCGCUGCAGCAACCUGUCAAGAAUUCCAAGAAACUGCCAGGAAUUUGGAAGAUGUCCAUGUCUAAGACAAUGGUGAGGAUGGGGCCAAAAUCCAGAUCCAGCCUUGGAUCAAGGAAGCCUUGAUUCCUUCAUCUGAGUGACCCUGUGUUGACCCACGGCUGCUGAUGGAUCGCGGACCUUCCUCUCUCCUCACUGCCCUGCAUCAGAUCACCAGGAGGACCUGAGAGUUCUAACCAGGCAUUGAUCUUUCCUGCUAGCUGGUAGCAUUUGCCACUGACCUUAUAGACCGUGGUCCUGUCCUAACAGUAAGUCUCAUGCACCAGCUGUGAGCUGUAAUUCUGGCUCUGGUCCUCUUAACCUUCCUUUUGCAAACACCAUUGUCCAAUAAAGCAGCAAACAAAAAUCUUACAAUCAAAACAACUGAAUUAUGCUGGUACUUCGAUCAGCUGUUAUCAGGCACAGGCAGUUCUUGAGAUUCAGAAAUGCAGUGUAAUUCACCCGGGAUAAGAAAUCAAAUUUAAAAAUGAGCUGAACAGACAUUUUUAGGAAUAAGUAUAUUUCUAAAUAAACUAGCUUUUUAAUUCCACCUUUUCUAUAUUAGAACAAAUCAAUAUUGUCUGCACUUGGAGAUGAGUUUCAACUGUCAUAAUUAAAUAUUAUCCUGCUUUUUGCAGCACAGCCAAACAAGGACUUUUACUCCUGACACAACAGUUUCCUCAAGUAGGAACAACUUACUAACUUAUUACAGCAAUGAUUUAAGAUCCACAUGGUUUCAUCAUAUUUUAGAAAACAAAUCCCUACCAAAACACACAGCAUGAUUCAUCCCUGGAGUCAGAGCACUGAAGAGAUGGAGUAAUAGAAGAAACAAUAUAUUUUAAAUGCUUUUAAAAUACAAACAUAAUGAUGAUACAUUAAAUAAUGUGAUCUACCCAGCCGGACUUCUAAUUACCUACAUGCAAACCUCAUAUUCAUUCAUCACUUCAUUCUCUUCAGCUGCAAUGUUGGUUUUUGGUAGACACUAACACUGAGCCAUAAGUUUGGAUGGGAAGGGAAACAAGGACAGUGCAAGGCUGUAUAUUAGCUUAGACAAGUAGGAUGUCAUUGCCAGCCUGAAUUUGUUGAUGACACCAGGCAUUAAGCAAGUAAAUCUUCAGCCACUGAAGCAUGAGUUUGCUGACUUUAAGUAAUGACAUCCAGGAGGUGAUCCAGGAGUGGAUUUACACCAGCAAGUACCUAUGGACUCAUAAUGGCCACUUAGCCCUGACCACAAAACAACAAGUCAAAAUGGAGAUUCACCUGUCCCCUGAAAAGAAAAAUUUUGUUUUUCCUUAUUCUAGUCUCAUUUCAAAUGUUCAGGAAGCUGGGUAUGACCAUCUUUGAGGAUGGGGAAGGACUUUUGUCUCUGAAGAAUCCAGCUCAUGGAGUCACUUGGUCAAUUCCCAUUUGCACCCAGCAAAGACCAUGGAGAUGUCAAAUGGUGUAAAAAGGGAUGAACCAUCACAAGACUGGGAUUGGAAAGUGUGGGGAGCAAGCACUCAGGGAGAUGCAGCUGGUUCCCUGGCCCUGGGCUGUGGCUCAGCUCUUGGUCAUGGCACAAGUGACCAGAGGCCAGAAAAACAUGGUGGGGACUGAUUCUGUCUUGGCUACUCCUCAUCAGUGCCUUGAGCUGCAUGAAGCCCUGAGAACCAAGGCAACACGAGGGCACAACCAGGGAUUUGCUCUUCUCAUGGUCCACACCUUAAGCACAGCACAAAGUUCCACCCUUUGCUUCUGCAGCCUGUGAAGCCUUGGGAAAUGAUCUGCACAAAAGAACAAGAAGUAAAAGCUGCCUCUGCCAUCUUCUGUUUAAUUAACAUAGGUAUACCAAUUUGAUGCAAUUAAUCAAGAUAGGAGGGAUUAAACAGUAACUCUGCUGACAAUGACAGCGUUAGCAUGGCUGUGGCAUAAGGAGGGCUGCAAAAUGAGAGUGGUGACUGGGAACACUGUGAGGAAGUGUAAGCUGGCUGAAGUUUUGGGAGGUUUAUGCAGAUGUACUGAAAUUUAGGGGCAGCUGAUUCUUCAUGUGGCCAAGUGUUUAUCUGCCCCUGCCCUUUCCUUUACCCUCUCAGACCUUCCAGGGUAAUCCCCAGAGUGGCAACAACUUUUAAAGCGAUUCCUCUUUCUUUUAACAGAUUCCUGAUGCUAAAGGUCUGACCUUAGAAUGAGCAGUGCAUAGGGCAAGAGUGGGUACUGCAGUGAGCUUCUGGCCUUCAACCCUUCCAAAUACAGCUAUUUUGGUAACCAGAACACUAUAUUCAUGAUGGGUGAGGGAACAGAGCCUUCCAGUGCAGGGCUUCUCAGCACAUUAACUCUAUCAGUGCUGGAUUCUUGGUCGCUAUGCAAGUUUGCCUGUGCCUAUUUAAGACCAUAAAUGCAGCUUUGCAGAGGUCUGCUGCAUUCUGUAACUUCAUGCUUGUGCUUUACUGCCCGAUGCACCUGAAAAGUGGACUGAAUCCUGUGGAUUUCCAUGUGGGUCUGGGAAGGACUGUAAUCACGUGCAGCUGAGAGCAGCUCAGACUUGGAUUUCUUCUUGGCAGGAGAGGCACAGCCUGGUUUGCUACAAUGCAACUGUCCUCAUUAAUGUUCUUCAAGCCCUGAUGUACUGGGACCGCCAUCGUUGGGUCAGAAGAUGGCUGAGUUUUCCAGGCUCAUUCUCUUGUCUUCAGAAUGUUAAAUUGGGUGAUAAUGAGUAGUAACUGUGUCCUUUUUUAUGGUGAAGUUGACACUUGCCUUCUAGUAAACAGACACAGAGAUGACCCUCCUCAUUUCGCACAGGUCACCAAACAGCCCCGGAGUGGUAGGGGUUAUUGGCCAUUUACCAAACUCUGUUUGACUUGGGUUCAUGGGUGAGAGAUGAAAGGCUCUAUAUUGCAUUACCAAUCCCUGGGGCCAGCCAGUCUCCCUAAAGAAGCGUUUCAUUUAGCAAGGCAACUGCUGGGCAUGGGAAUCGGAGACUUGGGAAAAAGAGGACACAGUUUCAAUUGCAAACGUUUCCUUAGGGCAGAUGUCUUAAAGCCACACAGAAGCUCACUGCUUCAGUGUCACAAUAGUUGCUCCAGGACACUUAAUGACCAGCAGAUUUUCCCCUUUAAUUAAUCUCCCCUUUUCCCAAGAAAACAUCCCUUAGGUUCCUUGUGGUGUUUCUGCCUCUGCCCUGCUGUUUUGUCCAUCUCCUUGGGGCAAGACCAGUGCAGCACUUGUGAACUGUUACCUUUCCCAAGAGCUUCAAAAUUGAAACAGAUGAUCAAGUAGCCAUGGUAUCACACUUAGAGGUUUUGGGCUCUUGUGAGGAGAAAUGAGUAUUCCUGAAGUGUCCAAAUACUUUCCUUACCCCAGAGCAAAGAAGCUGACUGAUUUUCUUGGUUAUAGUAGAGUGGUCAUUGCUAUUGGGAUAGUCCAAGUGCUGCCUUUUUACAGAUAAUGGUUUCAAUGAUUGAUGGAUCCAGGAAGAAGAAUAUCUGGUUCAGAACAAGAAUUCAACCCAGACUUUCCCUGAAUUUCCUAUAUUAAAAUCCAGUGUUGUUCCAAAUUCUUAAUCACUGAUUAAAAUCCUCUUUCACUUUCCUCCCUUAUUGUCUGUGAUGUGACUCAUGAGACAUUCAGAAGUUGCACUUGUUGUUUGAUAGUUUUACAUCAUGGUUGUAAUAGUGCAUCUACCAAGUCAGCAGGGUUUUUUCUGCCUUUGUUUAUUUAUUUACCACUCCAUUUCCAGCAAGUUCUUGUCACCCAGUUCCCACUGACAACAGGGGAAGAGGCACAGGUCAGCUCAGAAAAUGAACGACUAGAAGGUAAGUGAAAAGAAUAGUAAAUGCAGGCCAUUCAUGUAACAGGAUCCAAUUCAUUUUUAUGCCAGGGAGAUUUUUUUAAAUGGGACUUCUCCCAGUGGAGAGCUCACAAUGCUCAAGGCCUGUUUCACUAUAAAGACAAUACAUAAUUAUUCUGGGCUUAUUAUUAUUUUUUAUCACUCCUUUUCCAGUUGCAGGGAGUGAGGGCAGAGAUGAGAUCAGGACCCAGUUUAUUGCUGUGCUGGCUGUGCAGCACACAGGGCUGCAGGACCCUGUGGAGUAACAGGUAAAUACACCCAGGCUGAAGGUUCAGGUGACAGGUCUGAGAUGGGAGAAUCCAUCAACAGCAAAAAUGGGAACUCAGCCUCCUGAGGCCUUCAGCCCUGGGCUCCUGCUGCUUGUUGCUUUCAGCAUCUUUUCUUUUCACACUUAUUUUGAAUCGCCGAAAUGAUGAAUUGAAAAAGUGCCAUGUCAUUUGAAGCACUCUUUAUUGUGUUUAUAGGAAACAGAUUAUCUGUUCUCUCUGGAUAGUGGAAAGUGAGUAUGAUGAACUCAUCUGGAGAAAAUGUAGGUUGGGUGUGACAGAGAAACUUGUGUUUUAUACCACAGUGACAUCUCAAUUUCUGGUUUUGGUAUGACAGACUCAGUGAUACUGAACCAUCCUGGUUCCUGCUUUCAGGCUGGGGUCACAAGUUGGACUUGGAAGAAGAAACUUCCAUGCAGAGAUGCAGUGUGAAUACUGUGCCAGGCAGGGGUACAGGAAGGGUGUUUGAAACCAAGCAGUCAUUUCCACCCUGGAUUUCAUGAGGAGUUAUUCUUGUCUCAGAGAAUGACGCACUCAAAUAUCCCUCUAUGGAUUCCAGGUGAGUUAGUCACAUUUAGAUGCUUCCAAGUAAUACACAGAAAGGUGCUGAGAAAAUGAUGAGUCUCUGCCUAGUCACAAAAAAAAAAAAAGCUCAGAAAAAGUAGAUCUGAGCAAAUUACGUGUACUAGUCUUCAAAAUAUUCUAAAAAGACCUGGGGUCAAAGAGGUUUUACCUUAAAAACAGUAGGGAUGCACAGUAUUUACUUUACUGUCUGACCCAUCAGCUGCUCUCUGUCCCCAGAAACAGUUCAGGAAAUAACUGGAAGCAUCUGAAGACAUAAAAAGGAUAAUUAAGUUUCAUUGUGGAAAUAAGAGGGUAAUCUGUCCAGACAAAUCUAGGACCUAGUACUGAGAGCCGUAGGAUCUGAAUAUAAAAAAAUGAGUAAUUUUGAAAAAAGAUGUCUAUCAGGACUGUAAAUUCAGAGAGUAAAAAAGUAGCUUUGCUUAAUAGACCAUCUCUCUCUCCAUCUCCCUCUAACUCAUUUUCUUAUUCUCUUUCUUCCUUUUGUGCAACUGCAAAAAAAAAAAAAUAGUGUGCAAAAUCUGAUAUUGAGAAUACUUUAGCUUCAUUUCAAUCUUCUAUUCUCCAAAUGUUUUGUUCCAACUGGGAAGAUUCCCCCUGGGAGAUAACCUCAGCCAUGGCUGCACGAGGCUUGUGGGGUGGCUGAUUUGCAAAGGAACAACUGUAUUUUGAGGUGUCUCUGAGGCAGCCAGGUCCCCUCUCUUCUGAGGCUCUUAAAGAUAUUUGUGAGCUGGCACGAGAAAUCACCUGGGACUCAGAGCAGACCACAAGUGCUUAGGACAGUGUUUUCUCUUCACCUUUUUUUGCUGAGCAGAAUUGCAGUGCUAUAAACAAAUGUGAGUUUUGCCUCAUUCUUAGGUCCUGUGAGUUAUGAAAGCCCACUCCAGUUGUAAUGAAUGUAUAGAUCAUUUUGACCAGAUCAUAAUCUAUUAGUAAAUAAUGCUCUCUGAAAAUGUAUAGGUGAAAUAAAGAACUUCUUGCUACUAUUGCUGUAUUGGUAUCAAGGAUUACUGUGGAGGCCAACACAAUCCUGAGGCUUUGUGCUGCUGACAUUUAAAUAGAAUACAGAAUUAACUACAGGGUUUGGUUAGCAAAUUCCCUUUUGGAUUAGAAUAUUCAGGAUUUACACUGCUGGAAACAGAACCCAAAACUUUACAAGCCCUGUGCCUUGGCUUCAGCUCACUGACACCCUCACUCAUAUUUAUAGAAUUUUUCCAUUAGAUUCCUAAUUUUGGUGGUGAUAUUAAUUAGCAAAUCACACAAUACUUUUCAGAAUGAGUAGAGGCUGAUAGAGCAAACCCCCAUAACACCUAUGACUUUUCUUCACUAUCCCUGGAGGAAGCCCAAGGGUAGCAGACUAAGACCUAAGGCAAUUGUCAGCACAGUCUAUAGGCCAUGGGAAGGUUAGGUUUAAAGAAGAUGUCACUUUUGGGACAUCUGUGUGACACAUGCUGCAGUGUCCAGACAUUGGAGACUAUGUUUUUACUCUAAAUCUAGAGAGGAAGUCACUGGGAAAAAAAAGGGAAAGAAGCACGGGGGAAUAAAAGUACUUUUGAAAGAGAAGAAAUCUACAUUUCAAUGAAAAUCCUUUCAAGGCAUUUCAAAUAAGAGUCUGAGAGAAAUAAUUACAAAGUUUGGAGAGAAAGAACGUUAGCUUUGAUAUCUUUUUCUUCUAUGAAGCAAUUAAAAUAAGCAAUUUUUCAAAUACUAAGCAGAAAAUUACUAAUGGCUGAACCCAAAAGCUUUCAUUUCCUUCUUGGGG